ensembl:lncRNA
UCCUGCUGAAAUUAGCAUUGCUGUUAUUCAGAGCCAUUUCAAUGCCUGAAGUUAAUAUUUCACCUCAUGUUUUCAAUAAUCUCUACUUUUCUGAUUACGCAAGUGCAUUAGACACCAGCCAUAAGAGUGUCAGACUUACUUUAUUCAGAUUCUAGUCACUGACUGAACAAAACACUAGGUGUACUCGACAUAAUGGAAGCUUCUUGUCCACCAGCUUUCAUUCUCCAAACGGGAUUAACACUGCAGUUCUUCAUGAGGAAAACCAAGAUGUCUGUAAGAGGUUGUUUAGUUGAAAUUAAGAGAUUUUAUUAACAAGCUUUCCCUAUUCUUUGCAGUGGACUGUUGGGAUUCUUUCUGAUGUUGCAUACAGUGAAGCUAAAAAGCAGCACAACCUCAGGGCAAUAUGCAGCCUGGAGUUUCCUUGCAAAGGUUAUCACUGCUAGCUUAUCACCAUUCUUCUUUGUCAUGACUGCCAAUGUACUAACAAUUUCUUGCCUUGUGGUCGGUGGAGUUGGAGAAGCAUUGCUUGUUUACACUGAAAGGACAGGCACAUAAAGAGGAACCAUAUCUCACCAGUUGGAACAGAGCUGACUCGCAGCCUAGAGACACUAUAAUGAAAAAAGCAGCAGCAGGAAUGAAGAAGUGCAACGAAACAUGAGGAAAGGGAUCUAUUGUUUUUUUUUUAAUUAAGAAAAGAACCUAUGCUAUUAAUAGUGCUGGUAAGGGAGCAGCAUAUUUGGCAGAGAUGGUAAGGAGCUUUUGCCUCAAAGCACAAGACCAACUAUAUCAGAUUGAUGUGGUAAAGAAAGAACUGCACUGUAUCAUGCUGAUGGCUCUGUGUGAGCACCACUCAGUAGCAGCUUCUAGCACAGGGAGCUAAACUCAGGAAAAGCAGCAUUCCCCACUGGAUGCCCCCAGUGGCUUUUUUUUUGUUUGAAGCAGACAGCAGGUCAUACCAAAUGAUGUAUAAAUUCAGGAUCUGGAAGGAUGGAUUUUGCCUCCAACUGUUCUGUAAGCAGCAAGCUGCCACACACAGGUCUCUAGUCAUGUUGUCUGAACUGGCACAGGGACUGAGGCCAAAGGGCUUGUGGAGAUAAUCCCCUUCUGGAACUGUGGCAGUUUGACAGCCUUUCAGAAAGGGAAAAUCAGCAAUAAAUCUCAAUAUCUGUAGUGAUUGCUCUUUGUGAAUUUUUUUCUCUCCCAUUCGCUGAGAUUUCUCUUGAACUCUGCCAAUUUUUGUCAGCUGGAGGGGGUGGAGGGACACGUACUGUUCCCAGCAGUGGUUUGUCUCUUAAAUUAUUGCAAGAGGAAACAAAGAACAUGAACCUUGAAUGAAUGUCAUAAAGAGUAUAAGGAAAUUAAUCUCAAGAGUUCUUAAAGUAAUUUCACUUCUAGUUGUUUAAUGGCUGUUAGAAAUUAGUCUUGAUAUAUUAGAGCCUGCAAUCUAUGUGAAAGUAAUAUUAAAUGAUGAGUUUAUAUUGUGGGAAAGGUCUACAUGGUAAAAGGAACUUGAUAACAAAUCUUCAAUGAGGAAAGAGACUUGUCUCACUUGUUGUUAGAGAUGUAAAGUAUAGUCCCUCAAUCUAAGCUGACCAAGUUUCCUUCAUGGUAAAUGGAAAGAGGGUUGCCCUCACAGAGAUGAUCCUUCUUGAAUGGAUUGCUGUGUUAGGAAGUGCAUAUUUCUCUAUAGAUAGAAACUGGGUAACUAGUCUAGACAAGACACAUGGUUUCUACAAGGCUACAGUUACUGGAGGCUUCAAUCUAACAUAUUCCACCAGAUGGGCUUGAAAAUAUGGCUACAUUUUAAUUUCAAAUAAAACACCAUAGGUUAACAAAGAAGGUAAAUUUUACAAAUGUUUGCAGUCAGUUUCUAUGACUGGAGAAUUUUAAAAAGAGAUUAGUUGAUUUUCAGGAAAAAAAAUUGCUGCAAAGAGAAGCCUAAAAGGUAAGUACUCUGGUCAAUAUUGUACCUAAGCUGAUCUCAGUCUAUCACAAAAGGUCUCUUCACAUGGGCAUGUUGUCUGUGUAUGGUGGGUCCCACUCUGGCUUGAGUUCAGUGUGAGCCAUUUUUUAGCCAGGUGGUAAAACUCAGGUUUGGGAAGAAAGGGGGAAGAGAGGGACAAGCAUGAAAAAAUAAGUGCUUGAACUUGAGCACUAGUCCAGAAACCAGC